rnacentral:lncRNA from 1 species
GCUGUGCAGAAGCUCUUUAGUUUAAUUAGAUCCCAUCAGUCAAUUUUGGCUUUUGUUGCCAUUGCUUUUGGUGUUUUAGACAUGAAGUCCUUGCCCAUGCCUAUGGCCUGAAUGGUAUUGCCUAGGUUUCCUCCUAGGGUUUUUAUGGUUUUAGGUCUAAUUUUUAAGUCUUUAAACUAUCUUGAAUUAAUUUUUGUAUAAGGUGUAAGGAAGGGAUCCAGUUUCAGCUUUCUACAUAUGGCUAGCCUGUUUUCCCAGCAACAUUUAUUAAAUAGGGAAUCCUUUCCCCAUUUCUUGUUUUUGUCAGGUUUGUCAAAGAUCAGAUGGUUGUAGAUGUGUGGUAUUAUUUCCAAGGGCUGUACUCUGUUCCAUUGGUCUAUAUCUCUGUUUUGGUACCAGUACCAUGCUGUUUUGGUUACUGUAGCCUUGUAGUAUAGUUUGAAGUCCGGUAAUGUGAUGCUUCCAGCUUUGUUCUUUUUGCUUAGGAUUGACUUGGCAAUGAGGGCUCUUUUUUGGUUCCAUAUGAACUUUAAAGUAGUUUUUUCCAAUUCUGUGAAGAAAGUCAUUGGUAGUUUGAUGGGGAUGGCAUUGAAUCUAUAAAUUACCUUGGGCAGUAUGGCCAUUUUCAUGAUAUCGAUUCUUCCUAUUCAUGAGCAUGGAAUGUUCUUCCAUUUGUUUGUGUCCUCUUUCAUUUCGUUGAGCAGUGGUUUGUAGUUCUCCUUGAAGAGGUCCUUCACAUCCCUUGUAAGCUGGAUUCCUAGGUAUUUUAUUCUCUUUGAAGCAAUUGUGAAUGGGAGUUCACUCGUCAUUUGGAUCUCUGUUUGUUAUUGGCGUAUAGGAAUGCCUGUGAUUUUUGCACACUGAUUUUGUAUCCUAAGACUUUGCUGAAGUUGCUUAUCAGCUUAAGGAGAUUUUGGGCUGAGACAAUGGGGUUUUCUAAAUAUACAAUCAUCUCAUCUGCAAACAGGGAAAAUUUGACUUCUUCUUUUCCUAACUGAAUACCCUUUAUUUCUUUCUCUUUCCUGCUUGGCCUGGCCAGAACUUCCAACACUAUGCUGAACAGGAAAUUGGAAAAACUACUUUAAAGUUCAUAUGGAACCAAAAAAGAGCCCUCAUUGCCAAGUCAAUCCUGAGCAAAAAGAACAA